CCUGCGGCCAUAUCAGAUUGAAACAACGGUUCACGUACGAUCACCAAAAUAAAGCAACGUCGAGCCUGGUCAGUACCUAGAUGGGUGAGCGCUUGGGAAUACCAAGUGCUGGA